rnacentral:rRNA from 1 species
CGGAGGGGGCAAGCGUUGUUCGGAAUUACUGGGCGUAAAGGGCGCGUAGGCGGCCUGCUAAGUCGAACGUGAAAUCCCCGGGCUCAACCCGGGAACUGCGUCCGAUACUGGCAGGCUUGAAUUCGGGAGAGGGAUGCGGAAUUCCAGGUGUAGCGGUGAAAUGCGUAGAUAUCUGGAGGAACACCGGUGGCGAAGGCGGCAUCCUGGACCGAAAUUGACGCUGAGGCGCGAAAGCCAGGGGAGCAAACGGGAUUAGAUACCCCGGUAGUCCUGGCCCUAAACGAUGAAUGCUUGGUGUGGCGGGUAUCGAUCCCUGCCGUGCCGAAGCUAACGCAUUAAGCAUUCCGCCUGGGGAGUACGGUCGCAAGGCUG